AUUGAACGCUGGCGGCAGGCCUAACACAUGCAAGUCGAACGAGAGGCGGACGGGUGAGUUAUGGCUGGGAAAAUGAGUGAUGGAGGGGGAUAACUACUGGGAACGGUAGCUAAUACCGCAUAAACUAGGAUGUGCCCAGAUGGGAUUAGCUAGUAGGUGGGGUAAAGGAUCACAUAGGCGACGAACCCUAGCUGGUCUGAGAGGAUGACCAGCCACACUGGAACGGAGACACGGUCCAGACGCCGACGGGAGGCAGCAGUGGGGAAUAUUGCACAAUGGGCGCAAGCCUGAUGCAGCCAUGCCGCGUGUAUGAAGAAGGCCUUCGGGUUGUAAAGUACUUUCAGCGGGGAGGCGUUACCCGCAGAAGAAGCACCGGCUAACUCCGUGCCAGCCGCCGCGGUAAUAC
rnacentral:rRNA from 1 species